GCCUGGCUAGCUUAGUCAGUAGAGCAUGAGACUGUUAAUCUCAAGGUCAUGGGUUUGUGCCCCAUGUUGGGCA